UGAUGAGCCAUGCCGCGUGUGUGAAGAAGGCCUUCGGGUUGUAAAGCACUUUCAGUCGUGAGGAAGGUGGUGUAGUUAAUAGCUGCAUAUUUGACGUUAGCGACAGAAGAAGCACCGGCUAACUCCGUGCCAGCAGCCGCGGUAAUACGGAGGGUGCGAGCGUUAAUCGGAAUUACUGGGCGUAAAGCGCAUGCAGGUGGUUUGUUAAGUCAGAUGUGAAAGCCCGGGGCUCAACCUCGGAAUUGCAUUUGAAACUGGCAGACUAGAGUACUGUAGAGGGGGGUAGAAUUUCAGGUGUAGCGGUGAAAUGCGUAGAGAUCUGAAGGAAUACCGGUGGCGAAGGCGGCCCCCUGGACAGAUACUGACACUCAGAUGCGAAAGCGUGGGGAGCAAACAGGAUUAGAUACCCUGGUAGUCCACGCCGUAAACGAUGUCUACUUGGAGGUUGUGGCCUUGAGCCGUGGCUUUCGGAGCUAACGCGUUAAGUAGACCGCCUGGGGAGUACGGUCGCAAGAUUAAAACUCAAAUGAAUUGACGGGGGCCCGCACAAGCGGUGGAGCAUGUGGUUUAAUUCGAUGCAACGCGAAGAACCUUACCUACUCUUGACAUCCAGAGAACUUUCCAGAGAUGCAUUGGUGCCUUCGGGAACUCUGAGACAGGUGCUGCAUGGCUGUCGUCAGCUCGUGUUGUGAAAUGUUGGGUUAAGUCCCGCAACGAGCGCAACCCUUAUCCUUGUUUGCCAGCGAGUAAUGUCGGGAACUCCAGGGAGACUGCCGGUGAUAAACCGGAGGAAGGUGGGGACGACGUCAAGUCAUCAUGGCCCUUACAAGUAGGGCUACACACGUGCUACAAUGGCGCAUACAGAGGGCGGCCAACUUGCGAGAGUGAGCGAAUCCCAAAAAGUGCGUCGUAUCCGGAUUGAAGUCUGCAACUCGACUCCAUGAAGUCGGAAUCGCUAGUAAUCGUGGAUCAGAAUGCCACGGUGAAUACGUUCCCGGGCCUUGUACACCCCGCCCGUCACCCCAUGGGAAGUGGCUGCAAA
rnacentral:rRNA from 1 species